GAUGAACGCUGGCGGCGUGCCUAAUACAUGCGAGUCGAGCGAACAGACGAGGAUCUUGCUCCUCUGACGUUAGCGGCGGACGGGUGAGUAACACGUGGAUAACCUACCUAUAAGACUGGGAUAACUUCGGGAAACCGGAGCUAAUACCGGAUAAUAUAUUGAACCGCAUGGUUCAAUAGUUAAAGACGGUUUUGCUGUCACUUAUAGAUGGAUCCGCGCCGCAUUAGCUAGUUGGUAAGGUAACGGCUUACCAAGGCAACGAUGCGUAGCCGACCUGAGAGGGUGAUCGGCCACACUGGAACUGAGACAGGGUCCAGACUCCUACGGGAGGCAGCAGUAGGGAAUCUGCCGCAAUGGGCGAAAGCUUGACGGAGCAAGGCCGCGUGAGUGAUGAAGGUGUUCGGAUCGUAAAACUCUGUUAUUAGGGAAGAACAACUGUGGAAGUAAAUAUGCACGUCUUGACGGUACCUAAACAGAAAGCCACGGCUAACUACGUG
rnacentral:rRNA from 1 species